AGGGGGGUUUUGCUAAAGUGAUAGUUUAACGGUUAAUCAAAGAGGGUCCAAGAGUACUAAUGUUUCUGAUUAUUAAUUUGGAAAUGUAUUUUUUUUUGGUUGGAGAAUAAUGUAAAUAGUACUUGUCACGUUUAAUGAUAAAAUAUUGAUUACCAAACUAAAAGGAUAAUGACGACAAUAACGUGGAAGUGAUGACGGAUCAACAUAAAGGAAAUACUUUGGGAUUGAUUA
rnacentral:lncRNA from 1 species